AUGCCUAGGCAAAAUGUGAGUCCCAUGAGCCUGCAGGGCCUCCCCAGCUGGCAGCUGCCCUCCUCUCAGCACACCUGGGCCAGGAGUGCACCCCCUUGCACUGCAGGACAGCCAUUGCUCUGGGUCUCUGGGCCCACUUCUCGGUCUCCCUCAUCUCACUGUGACAGCAUCUCCCAGGCUGCUGGGAGGGGUCUAUUAAGCGGAAGUGUUAGGAUGGAUGUAUGGGAUGUCACCCACCCAGGCAGCACGGUUUUCUCCCCUCUGAUCAGACAGACAGGGAGCUUCCAACAGGAGGUCACUUUAACCUAUUGGUUCUCUGGAGGACUUUUGUGCAGUGGCAUAUCAGGAUUUUUUCUUGCAGCACCAGACACGGUGAGCCUCGAGACCCCACUGCCCCUGGAAGGAGCAGAAAUAGUGGCCACGUUUGAGCAGAUGCACUGGAGGGUCUAUGAGGGGAUCCCCCCACAUGUAAGAGGAGAGACAUGGUCUCUGCUGUUGGAGAAGGUGAAGGCAGACAAUCAAGGGAAAUACCAGGUAUGGCUUCUCCAUCUGUGCCUCUGGGAACCCUCCCCUGUCCCCAGCUUUCCUAGUUCCUCCCAGGCUCACCUGCCCAGAAAGCCAUGCCAUGCCCACCUCCUUGCUCCCUGUAGCCUUGGCCCAGUGCAGACACUGGGUCCAGAGUUGCACAGGUGCCACCUGACAUUACAAUUAGACCUCCCAGAUACCUGAGGGGGACUGAGUCACACAGCAAGGGACAGAAACCAACAGGACAGAGGAAGGAGACCCCCACAGAAACCACAGAAGAUGACCAGGCCAGAUGAACACAGGUCUGACAGAAAUGAGACAAGAAACUGGUCUCAACCCAUUGAUCCAGAGAGAUCCCUGUCCCUGCCUAGUUCCCGCCACUCAGCCCCAUCACCAAGGUGGGUAGCCCAGGUCCCGCUGCCCAGGAAGUGUGCUCUAUGCACCCAGGCUGAACUGCAUCAGCAGGGUAAGUGUAGAUGGAGUGAGAGUGGCAGGGACAGUGGCCAUGGUUGUCCAAGUGGCAUGAGGAUGCAUGGACCAAGAGGCCCAGAGCGUGAUGCACACACACUGACACUGGGCCAAAAGUGCCAGCCUCACACUUGGUCUGCAAGCUCUCAAAAGGGCCUGAAAACCAGGCAUGGGCUCCCCUUCUGGCCCUCUGCCUCACAUAGCUUAUGUGUGGUGGGACUCGGAGGGCUCAAGGGACAGAGGCCCAGUCACCCUCCCAGCCUCCCACUGCCCUGGGACACCCACACCUGGGAGUAGCAUCCCAGGGGACAAGCCCAGGCCAGAAGCGGUGGCACUGUCAUC
rnacentral:lncRNA from 1 species